rnacentral:rRNA from 1 species
CAGCCGCCGCGGUAAUACGAAGGGGGCUAGCGUUGUUCGGAUUCACUGGGCGUAAAGCGCACGUAGGCGGAUCGAUCAGUCAGGGGUGAAAUCCCAGAGCUCAACUCUGGAACUGCCUUUGAUACUGUCGAUCUGGAGUAUGGAAGAGGUGAGUGGAAUUCCGAGUGUAGAGGUGAAAUUCGUAGAUAUUCGGAGGAACACCAGUGGCGAAGGCGGCUCACUGGUCCAUUACUGACGCUGAGGUGCGAAAGCGUGGGGAGCAAACAGGAUUAGAUACCCGCGUAGUCCCUGUCUCUUAUAC